GGGUUGUGAGGUUAAGCGACUAAGCGUACACGGUGGAUGCCCUGGCAGUCAGAGGCGAUGAAGGACGUGCUAAUCUGCGAAAAGCGCCGGCGAGGUGAUAUGAACCCUUGACCCGGCGAUGUCCGAAUGGGGAAACCCAGUGCAAUCCGUUGCACUAUCGUUAACUGAAUACAUAGGUUAACGAGGCGAACCGGGGGAACUGAAACAUCUAAGUACCCCGAGGAAAAGAAAUCAACCGAGAUUCCCCCAGUAGCGGCGAGCGAACGGGGAGCAGCCCAGAGUCUGAAUCAGCUUGUGUGUUAGUGGAAGCGUCUGGAAAGUCGCACGGUACAGGGUGAAAGUCCCGUACACGAAAAUGCACAGGCUGUGAACUCGAAGAGUAGGGCGGGACACGUGGUAUCCUGUCUGAAUAUGGGGGGACCAUCCUCCAAGGCUAAAUACUCCUGACUGACCGAUAGUGAACCAGUACCGUGAGGGAAAGGCGAAAAGAACCCCGGCGAGGGGAGUGAAAAAGAACCUGAAACCGUGUACGUACAAGCAGUGGGAGCACCUUCGUGGUGUGACUGCGUACCUUUUGUAUAAUGGGUCAGCGACUUAUAUUCUGUAGCAAGGUUAACCGUAUAGGGGAGCCGAAGGGAAACCGAGUCUUAACUGGGCGUUAAGUUGCAGGGUAUAGACCCGAAACCCGGUGAUCUAGCCAUGGGCAGGUUGAAGGUUGGGUAACACUAACUGGAGGACCGAACCGACUAAUGUUGAAAAAUUAGCGGAUGACCUGUGGCUGGGGGUGAAAGGCCAAUCAAACCGGGAGAUAGCUGGUUCUCCCCGAAAGCUAUUUAGGUAGCGCCUCGUGAACUCAUCUUCGGGGGUAGAGCACUGUUUCGGCUAGGGGGCCAUCCCGGCUUACCAACCCGAUGCAAACUACGAAUACCGAAGAAUGUUAUCACGGGAGACACACGGCGGGUGCUAACGUCCGUCGUGAAGAGGGAAACAACCCAGACCGCCAGCUAAGGUCCCAAAGUCAUGGUUAAGUGGGAAACGAUGUGGGAAGGCCCAGACAGCCAGGAUGUUGGCUUAGAAGCAGCCAUCAUUUAAAGAAAGCGUAAUAGCUCACUGGUCGAGUCGGCCUGCGCGGAAGAUGUAACGGGGCUAAACCAUGCACCGAAGCUGCGGCAGCGACACUCUGUGUUGUUGGGUAGGGGAGCGUUCUGUAAGCCGUUGAAGGUGGCCUGUGAGGGUUGCUGGAGGUAUCAGAAGUGCGAAUGCUGACAUAAGUAACGAUAAAGCGGGUGAAAAGCCCGCUCGCCGGAAGACCAAGGGUUCCUGUCCAACGUUAAUCGGGCAGGGUGAGUCGACCCUAAGGCGAGGCCGAAAGGCGUAGUCGAUGGGAAACAGGUUAAUAUUCCUGUACUUGGUGUUACUGCGAAGGGGGACGGAGAAGGCUAUGUUAGCCGGGCGACGGUUGUCCCGGUUUAAGCAUGUAGGCGGAGGUUCCAGGUAAAUCCGGUACCUUUUAACGCUGAGGUGUGAUGACGAGGCACUACGGUGCUGAAGUAACAAAUGCCCUGCUUCCAGGAAAAGCCUCUAAGCAUCAGGUAACACGAAAUCGUACCCCAAACCGACACAGGUGGUCAGGUAGAGAAUACCAAGGCGCUUGAGAGAACUCGGGUGAAGGAACUAGGCAAAAUGGUGCCGUAACUUCGGGAGAAGGCACGCUGAUAUGUAGGUGAAGCCCCUGCGGGUGGAGCUGAAAUCAGUCGAAGAUACCAGCUGGCUGCAACUGUUUAUUAAAAACACAGCACUGUGCAAACACGAAAGUGGACGUAUACGGUGUGACGCCUGCCCGGUGCCGGAAGGUUAAUUGAUGGGGUUAGCGGUAACGCGAAGCUCUUGAUCGAAGCCCCGGUAAACGGCGGCCGUAACUAUAACGGUCCUAAGGUAGCGAAAUUCCUUGUCGGGUAAGUUCCGACCUGCACGAAUGGCGUAAUGAUGGCCAGGCUGUCUCCACCCGAGACUCAGUGAAAUUGAACUCGCUGUGAAGAUGCAGUGUACCCGCGGCAAGACGGAAAGACCCCGUGAACCUUUACUAUAGCUUGACACUGAACACUGGUCCUUGAUGUGUAGGAUAGGUGGGAGGCUUUGAAGCGUGGACGCCAGUCUGCGUGGAGCCGUCCUUGAAAUACCACCCUUUAAUGGCUGGUGUUCUAACGUAGACCCGUAAUCCGGGUUGCGGACAGUGUCUGGUGGGUAGUUUGACUGGGGCGGUCUCCUCCCAAAGAGUAACGGAGGAGCACGAAGGUUAGCUAAUCCUGGUCGGACAUCAGGAGGUUAGUGCAAUGGCAUAAGCUAGCUUGACUGCGAGAGUGACGGCUCGAGCAGGUGCGAAAGCAGGUCAUAGUGAUCCGGUGGUUCUGAAUGGAAGGGCCAUCGCUCAACGGAUAAAAGGUACUCCGGGGAUAACAGGCUGAUACCGCCCAAGAGUUCAUAUCGACGGCGGUGUUUGGCACCUCGAUGUCGGCUCAUCACAUCCUGGGGCUGAAGUAGGUCCCAAGGGUAUGGCUGUUCGCCAUUUAAAGUGGUACGCGAGCUGGGUUUAGAACGUCGUGAGACAGUUCGGUCCCUAUCUGCCGUGGGCGCUGGAGAAUUGAGGGGGGCUGCUCCUAGUACGAGAGGACCGGAGUGGACGCAUCACUGGUGUUCGGGUUGUCAUGCCAAUGGCACUGCCCGGUAGCUAAAUGCGGAAGAGAUAAGUGCUGAAAGCAUCUAAGCACGAAACUUGCCCCGAGAUGAGUUCUCCCUGAGACUUCAAGUCUCCUGAAGGAACGUUGAAGACGACGACGUUGAUAGGUCGGGUGUGUAAGCGCAGCGAUGCGUUGAGCUAACCGAUACUAAUGAACCGUGAGGCUUAACCUUACAACGCCGAAG
rnacentral:rRNA from 1 species